rnacentral:rRNA from 1 species
UCACAUCCUGGGGCUGAAGUAGGUCCCAAGGGUACGGCUGUUCGCCGUUUAAAGUGGUACGCGAGCUGGGUUUAGAACGUCGUGAGACAGUUCGGUCCCUAUCUGCCGUGGGCGCUGGAGAAUUGAGGGGGGUUGCUCCUAGUACGAGAGGACCGGAGUGAACGCACCGCUGGUGUUCGGGUUGUCAUGCCAAUGGCACUGCCCGGUAGCUAAGUGCGGAAGAGAUAAGUGCUGAAAGCAUCUAAGCACGAAACUUGCCCCGAGAUGAGUUCUCCCUGACCCUUUAAGGGUCCUGAAGGGACGUUGAAGACGACGACGUUGAUAGGCCGGGUGUGUAAGCGCAGCGAUGCGUUGAGCUAACCGGUACUAAUGACCCGUGAGGCUUAACCUUACAACGCCAGAGGCGUUUUG